GUUACCAGUAAAACCACAAACAAAGAAAUUCACUCGAGUCCUUCAUAUAUUUAGACGAAAUGUUAGUUUAUUUUGUGAAAAUAAAUGGUCAUUACAAACAAGGCAUUGUUAUUAAAAGUGAAUUAAUCUAUUCUAUUGAUUCAGGCUACGUUUUAGCCACCCAAUUGAUGGACCCAAAACAUUGAAGCGUGUAUGACGUCGACAGGGCGGUUUGGCUCAAGUGUCAUUUGAUCGUUCAAAUAGAGUAGUACAGAGCCGUUAAAUAUGAGAGUUGCGACACUCUUUGAUCUCGCCGCCACGCUGUCACGUGGUUCAUGUAGCUCUCAAUAGUUCCAAACAAAUCCGCGCUGUCAACCAGUUUGAAUGGUUUUAAGCGGGACAGACAGCAGCAACUAUAUUUGCAGCAAUUAUCGGAAUUGGCCAGCCACUUCUGACCAGACUUCUCCAGACGGUAGAUGGAUGUACCAGGGUCCCCCAGUUUUCAAGGUUUGCAAGGCAAGUAAGCAUGUUGUGUCUUUCAUCUGCUGCAGUAAGUUUCUUUGGCUGACACUGCUGACCAGUCCUCAAUUUCUUUGUGCUUCUUCAACAGAGCUUUGGCAGCACAUCUGAAGCAGCACAUCUGCCUUGUGUCUUAUUGCUGCGUCUUGCUGUGGUAUAUGUUUUUUCACAGUAAACUGUCUUCAGCAACCUUGUUAGCUGAGUUUGGCUGUUUCUCACCCAGUUGUGUUAACAUUACUGCAUAUAUUGUUUGUAUUGAAAAUUGUAUUUUGAUGCUUUGGAAACAUUGUUCUUAUAACUUUCAUGCCAAUAAAGCCCCUUGAAUUGAA